UCUCAAAGAUUAAGCCAUGCAUGUCUAAGUAUAAGCAAUUAUACCGCGAAACUGCGAAUGGCUCAUUAUAUAAGUUAUCGUUUAUUUGAUAGCACAUUACUACAUGGAUAACUGUGGUAAUUCUAGAGCUAAUACAUGCUAAAAAUCCCGACUUCGGAAGGGAUGUAUUUAUUAGAUUAAAAGCCAACGCCCUUCGGGGCUUCCUGGUGAUUCAUAAUAACUUUUCGAAUCGCAUGGCCUUGCGCCGGCGAUGGUUCAUUCAAAUUUCUUCCCUAUCAACUUUCGAUGCGAAGGUAUUGUCUUCGCAUGGUUGCAACGGGUAACGGAGGGUUAGGGCUCGACCCCGGAGAAGGAGCCUGAGAAACGGCUACUACAUCCAAGGAAGGCAGCA
rnacentral:rRNA from 1 species